UAGCUAGUUGGUGAGGUAACGGCUUACCAAGGCGACGAUCUGUAGCGGGUCUGAGAGGAUGAUCCGCCACACUGGAACUGAGACACGGUCCAGACUCCUACGGGAGGCAGCAGUGGGGAAUUUUGGACAAUGGGGGCAACCCUGAUCCAGCCAUGCCGCGUGAGUGAAGAAGGCCUUCGGGUUGUAAAGCUCUUUCGGCCGGGAAGAAAUCGCAUGGGCCAAUACCCUGUGUGGAUGACGGUACCGGAAUAAGAAGCACCGGCUAACUACGUGCCAGCAGCCGCGGUAAUACGUAGGGUGCGAGCGUUAAUCGGAAUUACUGGGCGUAAAGCGUGCGCAGGCGGUUUUGUAAGACAGGCGUGAAAUCCCCGGGCUCAACCUGGGAACUGCGUUUGUGACUGCAAGGCUAGAGUACGGCAGAGGGGGGUGGAAUUCCACGUGUAGCAGUGAAAUGCGUAGAGAUGUGGAGGAACACCAAUGGCGAAGGCAGCCCCCUGGGUCGAUACUGACGCUCAUGCACGAAAGCGUGGGUAGCAAACAGGAUUAGAUACCCUGGUAGUCCACGCCCUAAACUAUGUCAACUAGGUGUUGGGUGGGUAAAACCAUUUAGUACCGUAGCUAACGCGUGAAGUUGACCGCCUGGGGAGUACGGCCGCAAGGUUAAAACUCAAAGGAAUUGACGGGGACCCGCACAAGCGGUGGAUGAUGUGGAUUAAUUCGAUGCAACGCGAAAAACCUUACCUACCCUUGACAUGCCAGGAACUUGCCAGAGAUGGCUUGGUGCCCGAAAGGGAGCCUGGACACAGGUGCUGCAUGGCUGUCGUCAGCUCGUGUCGUGAGAUGUUGGGUUAAGUCCCGCAACGAGCGCAACCCUUGUCGUUAAUUGCCAUCAUUUAGUUGUGCACUUUAGCGAGACUGCCGGUGACAAACCGGAGGAAGGUGGGGAUGACGUCAAGUCCUCAUGGCCCUUAUGGGUAGGGCUUCACACGUCAUACAAUGGUCGGUACAAAGGGUCGCCAAGCCGCGAGGUGGAGCCAAUCCCAGAAAGCCGAUCGUAGUCCGGAUUGCAGGCUGCAACUCGCCUGCAUGAAGUCGGAAUCGCUAGUAAUCGUGGAUCAGCAUGUCACGGUGAAUACGUUCCCGGGUCUUGUACACACCGCCCGUCACACCAUGGGAGCGGGUUCCGCCAGAAGUAGGUAGCCUAACCGCAAGGAGGGCGCUUACCACGGCGGGGUUCGUGACUGGGGUGAAGUCGUAACAAGGUAGCCGUAGGGGAACCUGCGGCUG
rnacentral:rRNA from 1 species